AAACUCUCUCUCUCUCUCUCUCUCUCUCUCUCUGUUUCUACACUCUCAACCAGAAGCAAAAGACCAGGAUUUUGAAAUCGAAAGCAACCCUUGUCCAAAUCACAGCGCUUCACAUUCCCCCCCGUCUUCUCUCUCUCUCAACUAUGAGUACAUCGGCCUCGACACACCCCCAGCCCCAGGCGUCAACGGAAACCCCCGAGAACGCCACCCUUUCGCAGAUCAUUCGGCCCCUCGAACCGAAAUCGAAAUCGCAAUCAACAGCCUUCAACAGGGUCAUGCAGGCCCUCACCGCGCGCGACGAGGCCAUCAGGAGAGAGACCUCGUACUGGAAGACCCAGUACGAGGUAAUGGAGAAGAAACACGGCGAGGCGGCCCUCGAAAAGCUGAUCGCGCUCGACGAGCUAGCCAAGUGCAUGCGCCUGCUUGGAAAAAACCAAGUCCCAAACGCCGGGAUCGGCCAGCGCGUGUUAAUAGAACGGGCGGAGGAGGAUUUCGACAAGGCGGAGAAGGAGAAUGCGAAGCUGAGCUGUAAGUCCGAGAACUCUAAGGUCUCGGCGUUGGAGUCCGAGAAGGAGAAGGCGGAGCGGAGCUGCAAGGUAUCCGCGUCGGAGUCCGAGAAGGAGAAGGCGGAGGAGGGUGAUAAGAGGCGGUUCGAGGAGUUGAACGGGAGGGUAUCAAGCCCUAGACAUCCGAAACCGGUUUACGGGCCGCCGUCUGGUCCAAGCUUUCCGGAUGUCUUCGACCGUCAGCAUCAGUUGGGAAAACAGCUUGAGGCAUUUCAAAUGGAGCAACGUGAAUUUCGGGAUGAGACUAGAAUUCGGUUUGACCGCAUCGAUGAAAGCUUGCAAAACCUCACGAACUACUUCUCUGCCUAUCCGCCUCCAACAAAAACGAACAAGGGAUCUCCGGUUAUCAUCGGGAUAUAUGACAGUGAUGACGAGAUGCCCUCCAGAAAAAGAGGUUCAUGCAAUGAUGACGAUGACGGUUUGAAACCAACUAAGAAAUGUCACGCAAAUUCAUUUCAAGAGGUGAUGAACAUCCCUGAUGAUUCAGAUUCUGACCAAUUUGAUGCACUCAGGUAUGACCAGUGGCGACUCUAGGAUUUUGGUAACAUGGGUCAUUCAUAAGCAUAAAUUCUCUUACCAAUUAUGAAUAAAAAAAUCAAUAUUAAUGACAAUUGAUAACAACUUUCAACAGAAAACGCAUCAAAAGUUCAACAAGCUUUUCAACUAAAAAAUAAAUGAUAUCAAAAUGUUAUGUACUAAUAAUCUUCUUUUUAGUUUCACCAAAAAAAAAACUCAAGAACUUCUACAAUUGAAUUCAACAGGUUUCAGCAAGGGGUGCCCCAACACCACACAUUUUUGUGGAGUCCAUACACUUAGCGGUUGACUCCACGGAAUUGUCUAGUGUUUAGGAGUAAUAGUUUUUCUACAAAGGGAGAGGUGAGUUUCAAGUGAGGAAGUAAUGUCAUGGGGUGGUGUUUCAUGUUUUAACUUUUACAGAGGAGAGGGUGGAUUUCAAGUGGGGAAAUAAUCUAGUGUGGUCAUCAAAUUGUAAUGGGGUGGAAUAACCUUUGACCCUUUUCCCCUUCUGUUUGAACGGUGGAACAGAACGGUGGAGGAAUAGAACGGUGAGCUGGGUACCUGAAAACCGAAGGGGGAUGUACCUCCGGAAAUAAGCUCUGACAAGCAAGUUAGUAUGUGGAAGAAGAGAGUAUAAGAGCUUUUGAGAGAGAGAAUGAGGAAGAAGAUCCCCCACCUGGAGGGGUAGUCCACUAUUUAUAGGCAAACUUUGGAGUGUUGAACAAGUAGGCUGUAUGUCCAUGUGCAUUGUACUGUUGGGUUGACGUCAUGUGUCAGUCAUUAAAUGAGCGCCGCUUCCCAGGGUCAGCAGAGCCGCACAAGCUAAUGUCGGGGAUGUCACUUCAAGAAGACCGUUGAACAUCCACAGACGAGUCUUACUCCCUAAGUUACAGACUCAGCCGAACGAUUAUAUUGCACCGAGUGCUGUCACAUUACCCGAAUAACAGGAAGACAUGCCGAGCGAUGCACAUAAGGGACAGAGGAAACGUUCGGCCGAGUAGCUGAGGUUCGGCAAACGUUCAACAAAACAGCGGAGGGUCUUUCCGUGGCACGCCCUGACUUACAUACAAAUUGAGACAACUGGACAGUGGGUCCCAACCCGUGACCCCUUUGAACUCUCCGAACCGUGGUUAUUUCAGCCCACUACAGGUGGUGUUUCAUGUUUUAACUUCGGAUGAGGGGGUGGAUUUCAAGUGGGGAAAUAAUCUAGUGUGGUGGAAUCAUCAAAUUUUCAUGGUGUCAUUUAAUUUC